GAGACAGCAGCAGCCGCGGUAAUACGAAGGGUGCAAGCGUUACUCGGAAUUACUGGGCGUAAAGCGUGUGUAGGUGGUUGUUUAAGUCUGUCGUGAAAGCCCUGGGCUCAACCUGGGAAUUGCGAUGGAUACUGGGCGACUAGAGUGCGGUAGAGGAUAGUGGAAUUUCCGGUGUAGCAGUGAAAUGCGUAGAGAUCGGAAGGAACAUCUGUGGCGAAGGCGACUAUCUGGGCCAACACUGACACUGAGACACGAAAGCGUGGGGAGCAAACAGGAUUAGAUACCCCCGUAGUCCCUGUCUCUUAUAC
rnacentral:rRNA from 1 species